AGUGAACGCUGGCGGCGUGCUUAACACAUGCAAGUCGAACGAGAACGGAUUAUAGCUUGCUAUAAUUGUCAGCUAAGUGGCGCACGGGUGAGUAAUGUAUAGGUAAUAUGCCUCUUACUAAGGGAUAACAAAUGGAAACGUUUGCUAAUACCUUAUACUCCUUAUUAACAGAAGUUAAUAAGGGAAAGAUUUAUUGGUAAGAGAUUAGCCUGUAUUGUAUCAGUUAGUUGGUGGGGUAAUGGCUUACCAAGACUAUGACACAUAACUGGUUUGAGAGGAUGAUCAGUCACACUGGAACGGAGACACGGUCCAGACUUCUACGGGAGGCAGCAGUGGGGAAUAUUGCACAAUGGACGAAAGUCUGAUGCAGCAACGUCGCGUGGAGGAUGACACAUUUCGGUGCGUAAACUCCUUUUAUAUGAGAAGAUAAUGACGGUAUUAUAUGAAUAAGCACCGGCUAACUCCGUGCCAGCAGCCGCAGUAAUAC
rnacentral:rRNA from 1 species